UACGGAGGGUGCAAGCGUUAUCCGGAUUCACUGGGCUUAAAGGGCGCGUAGGCGGACAUUCAAGUCAGGGUGAAAUCCUCCGGCUCAACCGGAGAACUGCCUUUGAUACUGGUGUCUCGAGUGAGGUAGGGGCGUGCGGAACUGAUGGUGGAGCGGUGAAAUGUGUUGAUAUCAAUCAGGAACUCCGGUGGCGAAAGCGGCGCGCUGGACCUUAACUGACGCUGAGUGACGCGAAGCCAGGGAGGCGAACGGG
rnacentral:rRNA from 1 species